AAAACAGUUUUAGUACUACUCUGAUCAUUCGACUCGACACAGUUUGGCCCGUUCUCUCGAUCAUCGUCAUGAAUCGCCUGGCUUGUCUUCUGUUUCUCGUCUUUACCAUCAACAGUGUUCUACAUGUUACAACUGGCUAUAAAACGGUUUGUUGUAACACAGCUCAAUGCAGAUGGACUGUGUGUUUUAAGCCUGGCAGAGAUACUCCGGACAACAAUGACGAUAACAGAUCUAAUCAACUAAAGUGGCAUGAAAACAUGUCGUGCGAAGAGGCAAAAGCAGCAUUUUGUAAUAAAUGACGUCACAGUUGCCAUGACAACCUUCCAGAAGUAACUAUGGUUACGAAUACGAAAAAAAUGGUGAAAUUCAGAAAAUUUAACGCAAUAUUAACUUCAUAGAUAAACUGACUACUAAGUCAAUAAUCAUCUAAAAAUAAAAAUUGCUUUACCCAA